GUGACGAAGCGACGCCGCGUGUGGGAAGAAGGCCUUCGGGUUGUAAACCACUGUCAGGAGUUAAGAAAUGUAAGGGUGCUAAUAGUAUCCUUACUUGACUAAGGCUCCAGAGGGAGCCACGGCUAACUCUGUGCCAGCAGCCGCGGUAAUACAGAGGUGGCAAGCGUUGUUCGGAAUUAUUGGGCGUAAAGAGCACGUAGGCGGUUCUGCAAGUCGGCUGUGAAAGCCUUCCGCUCAACGGAAGAACAGCAGUUGAUACUACAGGACUAGAGUGCGGGAGGGGAGAGUGGAACUUCCGGUGGAGCGGUGAAAUGCGUAGAUAUCAGAAGGAACGCCGGCGGCGAAAGCGACUCUCUGGCCCGUAACUGACGCUGAGUGUGCGAAAGCCAGGGGAGCAAACGGGAUUAGAUACCCCGGUAGUCCUAGCCGUAAACGAU
rnacentral:rRNA from 1 species